rnacentral:rRNA from 1 species
AACGAACGCUGGCGGCAUGCCUAACACAUGCAAGUCGAACGAGACCUUCGGGUCUAGUGGCGCACGGGUGCGUAACGCGUGGGAACCUGCCCUUAGGUUCGGAAUAACUCCCCGAAAGGGGUGCUAAUACCGGAUAAUGUCUUCGGACCAAAGAUUUAUCGCCUUUGGAUGGGCCCGCGUUGGAUUAGCUAGUUGGUAGGGUAAAAGCCUACCAAGGCGACGAUCCAUAGCUGGUCUGAGAGGAUGAUCCGCCACACUGGGAAUGAGACACGGCCCAGACUCCUACGGGAGGCAGCAGUGGGGAAUAUUGGACGAUGGGCGAAAGCCUGAUCCAGCAAUGCCGCGUGAGUGAUGAAGGCCUUAGGGUUGUAAAGCUCUUUUAGCCGGGAUGAUAAUGACAGUACCGGGAGAAUAAGCACCGGCUAACUCCGUG